GACAACCUGCUUGGAUCGCCUUCGACGCCGUGUGAGCUUUCUUCUUUAGCUGUUUGCAAUAAAUCCUGCUGCUGCUCAGGCUUUGGGUCCACACUGCUUUUAUGAGCUGUGACACUGGUCACGAAAGUCUGCAGUUUCAUUCCUGAAGCCAGUGAGACCACACACCCACUAGGAGGAAUGAACAGCUCCAGAUGUGCUGCCUUAGGAGCUGUAACACUCACCACGAAGGUCUACAGUGUCACUCGUAAGUCCGCGAGACCAGGAACCCACCAGAAGGAAGAAACUAUGAACACAUGUGAACAUCAGAAGGAACAAACUCCGGACACGCUGCGUUUAAGGACUGUAACACUCACUGCGAGGGUCCAUGGGUUCAUUCUUGAAGUCAGUGAAACCAAGAACCCACCAAUUCCAGACAUAUUAUUAUCCUAUAACCAAACACUUAUUAGUUGUGAUUUUAUUCCAUUUUCAACAGGUUUGAGUGGACUUGAAAUGUAUGGACCAUAGGUCACUGAAAAAGCUAAUUUUCCUUCUUGAAAGAUAAUCAGAAGAACCAAAUUGAAGUUUCACAUGCCAAUUUUGAUUAUCUUUCUAUAAGUAGUUAGAAUGUUAUUUUUUAAGCUACAGAGCAAUUAAUGACUAGAACUGCAGGAACUAUUUAAUUGGGUAUUGAUUUAAAGCCAAGCUGUUGUUUGGCUGAAGCAUUGCAUUAUAAUUAACGGACCUUAACCAGACUUUAAUUUUUCUACAUUAUAUUUGAUUUUCAAGCGUUGCAAUAGCAACCUUCAAACAAUCUACAGAGCAAGGCUUGUAUUAUUCCUAUUAAAUUUUUAAAGUUUUGACUGAAUUUUUAACAUACCUUAAAGACAUCUGGCUUUUGAUAGUAACUUCAAAGUUUGCUGCAUUGUGAAAACGGUACACUCAAGAUUAAAUUCUCCAACUGACAUAUUGUCAAUUAGUCAAUAAAUUCAUUCAUAAUUUCAUACAUGAUAAUAUUAUCAGUGGCAGGGUUUACUGAGGAAGACUGUACCUUAUUUCCCUGCAGUUCUGGAGCCAAAUAGAUUCUCAUGUGUUUGGAAUGAUACAGCUAAACACUUACUUGAGGGGCAGAAGACGGGGCAAAAUGCCUUUUCAAAGACUCAUCCAUAAUAUUCAAUGACUGAUUAGUCUCUGUAGAAUGGAAGAAAUAUAUGAGUUUGUAAUUUUUAAAAUCGCCAUCUGGCCACUGUUUGAUUUGGUAUAAUACUUUAAAUUCAAGUCUUGCUAUGUUUAAGAUGACCACUUAAAAUUUUAUAUUUGGAGGAUUCAAUUAAAUGCUUAUCAAGUUCACAGCAUCGUUAAGAUCUGUAAGGAUACAAAAAUGAACAAAACAUGCAUGUUACAUGUAACAAAACGUGGAUUACAGCCUACUUUGAACACAAUAUUGCAUAAAUAACUAAACCACAAGGCAAUACAUGCUGUAUAUAAUGUACUAAUUAAAUCUUUUUACAAAACUUACUAAAAUUAUCAAUCAUCUCUUUUUUAAUGUAAAUUUUAUUCUGUAUAUUUAAGGUAUACAACAGGGGUCCCCAACCCCCGAGCUGUGGACAAGUAGCUACACGUGGCCUGUUAGUAACAGGGCCGCACAGCAGGAGGUGAGCAGCAAGUGAGCAUUACUGCCUGAGCUCCACCUCCUGUCAGAUCAGCAGCAGCAUUCGAUUCUCACAGGAGACAAGCCCUAUUGUGAACUGCCCAACUGAGGGAUCUAGGUUGUGUGUGUGCUCCUUUUGAGCAGCUAACUAAUGCCUGGUGCUCUGAGGUGGAACAGUUUCAUCCCAAAACUAUACUCCUGCCCCCACCCCAGGUACGCGGAAAAACUGUCUUCCAGGAGACUGGUUCCUGGUGCCAAAGAGAUUGAGGACUGCUGAUAUACAGCAUUAUUUUAUAAGACAAAUAUAUAUGUGUGUGUGUACACACACAACUUUACAUAUGUGGUGACCAUUAUAUACGUAAAUAUGUAUGUGUAAAUUUACAUAUAUAUUUAAAAUGGUCACUAUACUGGAACAAAUUUGCAUAUCUAUCAUCUCACGUAGUUACCCACUUUCUCCUCACUGUGAUAAGAACAGUCAUUGAGCAAAAAUCCUGAACACAAUUCACUAUUAUUAACUGCAGUACUCAUUGGAUCUUUUGAUUUCUUCCUGCUACAUAUUUGCUACUUUGCAUCCUUUGACCUUCAUCUCCUCAUUUCCUCUUUCCUUUGACCCUGGUAACACUGUUUUAUGAUCUAGCUCAAUACGUUUGAUUUUUUUUUUUUUAGAUUCCACAUGUGAGAUCAUGUAAAAUUUUUCUGUCUGUAUCUGGCUUAUUUUACUUAGCCUAAUGUCUUCUAGGUCUAUUCAUGUUGUGGCAAAUGACCAGUGUGUCAGUCUUUAAGGCUGAGUGUGUGUAUGUGUGUGUGUGUGUGUCUGUGUUUGUGUGCGCGUGCACGCCAUUCAUUGUCCUUACAAGUGUUUACUUUUCUUCCCAGCUGCUAUUAUAGCCAAAUAUCCUUAAUUUCAAGUCUUAUCAAUGUUACCUAAUAGUUGCUACGAAAGAUUCUAUGGUGUAAAAGUUUCGGUCUCCUCCAUCUUAUUUUGCUAUUCUAACAUAUGAGUCUAGCUGCUUGUUUCUGCUGUAGGGUGGUUUGGGAAUUUGUUGUAAUCCCCACCGCAAUUUCAAGUCUGGCAACUGGUGCUCCCUUUUUAAAGUGUGGAACAGCUACUUUGUGUCAGCUCCUGGGAGAGCUCACACACUGGGGAAACAGCAGUGGAACACUUGCAGGAAGGGUUAUACUGGCUGAAUUUUAAAGCACUUCAAUGGAUUCAAGACUCCAGUACAUUUUAUUGAUUGUGGAGCUCAGAGCGUAACUGGUUGAAUCGCUCAGGAAGUAGAUGUUCAGGAUUAACCAUGCGGUGUUUAGAUAUGAGUCACUGAGUGACCUUUAAUUUACUCUGCAUCUUCAAAAUCAGGCGGUGUGAAGAAAAAUAAGGCAGUAGAUUGUAGAUUUAUUUCCAUUUCAGAUCAACUAAGAGUCACUUGCUGUUUUUAUAGCAGAAUGGAGAAACACAACCAAGGAGAUACACCUAAGUAACAACAGCAAUGAUGUCAAAAAGAGUGCCUGAAUACUUAGGGUGGAGGUCCUGGACAUGCAAACCCAAGCUUCCUCUUUGCUGUGGCCAGGAAUCUGCAGUGAUUGAGAGCACAGACUGUAUCUAAAAUUCCACCUUUCAAAGUUCAGCAUAUUACUUUUUUUUUUCUUACACCUAUAAUAGAGGGAAAGAAAGGAUGUUCCUAUCCAUUCUUAAGGUACAGAGGAAUGAAGAAGGAAUAAACAGACCUUCUGGAUAAUUGCAUCAGCCUUCCCCACUAUU
rnacentral:lncRNA from 1 species